rnacentral:rRNA from 1 species
UACGUAGGGUGCGAGCGUUGUCCGGAAUUAUUGGGCGUAAAGAGCUCGUAGGCGGUGUGUCGCGUCGGCCGUGAAAGCCCUGGGCUUAACCUGGGAAUUGCAGUCGAUACUACUCAGCUAGAGUAUGGGAGAGGGCAGUGGAAUUCCCGGUGUAGCGGUGAAAUGCGUAGAUAUCGGGAGGAACAUCAGUGGCGAAGGCGGCUGCCUGGCCCAAUACUGACACUCAGGUGCGACAGCGUGGGGAGCAAACAGG